AACUGCUCUGUGGUCUGUUACAGACCUUUAAACAUCACCAGCACUGGACAUGAGGAUGCCCCCACUAAUGACGCUGUUUCAAACAACACCAGCUCUGGAGAAAAGAAUGCCCUCGCCAGUUAUUCUGUGCGCCAGCAUUGGUGGAUAAUUCUGGUUUUCGUGUUGCUGGUGAUUGCUGCUGUGAUCAUUUAUGUUAAAUGGAGAAACAAAAAG